rnacentral:lncRNA from 1 species
UGAAAAAAGAGUAAUCGAAUACCACUGUCUGCCGAGGACGGUGCUAAGUGCGUUAGUUUACUGCAAACAUGAAUUAUUCCUGUCUACAGGGAACUUACUACUAAUGGAGAAUGCCAGCAUUGAUAAAGUGCAUAAUAUUUGAAAAAUCCUUUUCUAUAUUCACGAUCUAACUUAAAUCUCAUCACACAACCUUUGAAGUAAUAAGUAUUCCAAGGCCUUUCAAAAUUAGGUUUCUCCUCUUCCUUCACUUAGUUGUCCUUUUUUUUUUGUUUUUUUUGAGACGGAGUUUCACUCUUGUUACCCAGGCUGGAGUGCAAUGGCGCGAUCUCGGCUCACCGCAACCUCCGCCUCCCGGGUUCAGGCAAUUCUCCUGCCUCAGCCUCAUGAGUAGCUGGGAUUACAGGCACACACCACCAUGCCCAGCUAAUUUUUUGUAUUUUUAGUAGAGACGGGUUUUCACCAUGUUGACCAGGAUGGUCUCGAUCUCUUGACCUCGUGAUCCACCCGCCUCGGCCUCCCAAAGUGCUGGGAUUACAGGCGUGAGCCACCGCAUCCGGCUGUCCUUUAAUUCUUUUGGUAGCAAUGAGACAGACAUUUUAAACCCAAGGAACAAAGACAAGUCAAAAGUCUAUGUGCCUUAUUCUCCAGCAGCGUCCAGGGAGUCCAGCGUGCUUCCAGCCCUUCAAUGACAGUCACCUGAACAAACGUGCCCAGGACGCCGGCGGACAGGUGGAGGGUCACUGUGUAGUAGUCUCCAUAACACUGAACCCAGCGUGCUAGAAGUUCUUUCCAGUAGACUGAAAGUUCCUUGGGUACAGGGAGUUUGCAACUCACUCUUCCAUCCUCAGUGCCUGGCACAUAGUGGGUGUAUACUAUUUUUCGAAUAGUAUACAAUGUCAAUAAACUGUAAUUCACUAAUUUGUUAGGCUAUUGUCUGUUUCUGAGUCCCUUAAAGGCAGGGAUUUUUGUCUGUUUUGUUCACUCAUGUACUCUGAGAACCUUAAAAAAAAAAAAGCCUUAUGAUUAGAGAGCUCUUUAUGAACUUCUGUUGGAGGAAUGAAUGGGAAAGAUGAUCACAAUGGGAACCUAACUUAUCGCCACUCCAGGAUCAUGUUUUGAAACAUUGUACGGUUUGAAGCUCUUAAAAAGUGCUGCAC